rnacentral:rRNA from 1 species
AACGAACGCUGGCGGCAUGCCUAACACAUGCAAGUCGAACGAAGCCUUCGGGCUUAGUGGCGCACGGGUGCGUAACACGUGGGAAUCUGCCCUUCGGUUCGGAAUAACAGUUAGAAAUGACUGCUAAUACCGGAUGAUGACGUAAGUCCAAAGAUUUAUCGCCGAAGGAUGAGCCCGCGUAGGAUUAGGUAGUUGGUAGGGUAAUGGCCUACCAAGCCGACGAUCCUUAGCUGGUCUGAGAGGAUGAUCAGCCACACUGGGACUGAGACACGGCCCAGACUCCUACGGGAGGCAGCAGUGGGGAAUAUUGGACAAUGGGCGAAAGCCUGAUCCAGCAAUGCCGCGUGAGUGAUGGAGGCCUUAGGGUUGUAAAGCUCUUUUACCUAGGGAUGAUAAUGACAGUACCUGGAGAAUAAGCUCCGGCUAACUCCGUGCCAGCAGCCGCGGUAAAUAAGCGUACU